UACGUAGGGACCGAGCGUUGUCCGGAUUCAUUGGGCGUAAAGAGCUCGUAGGCGGCUGCUCAAGUCGAAUGUGAAAACUCGAGGCUUAACCUCGAGCCUGCAUUCGAUACUGGGCGGCUAGAGUCUGGUAGGGGGAUCUGGAAUUCCUGGUGUAGCGGUGAAAUGCGCAGAUAUCAGGAGGAACACCGGUGGCGAAGGCGGGUCUCUGGGCCGAUACUGACGCUGAGGAGCGAAAGCGUGGGGAGCGAACAGG
rnacentral:rRNA from 1 species